UACGUAGGGUGCGGGCGUUGUCCGGAAUUAUUGGGCGUAAAGAGCUUGUAGGCGGUUUGUCGCGUCUGCCGUGAAAAUCCGGGGCUCAACCCCGGACUUGCGGUGGGUACGGGCAGACUAGAGUGUGGUAGGGGAGACUGGAAUUCCUGGUGUAGCGGUGAAAUGCGCAGAUAUCAGGAGGAACACCGAUGGCGAAGGCAGGUCUCUGGGCCACUACUGACGCUGAGAAGCGAAAGCGUGGGGAGCGAACAGG
rnacentral:rRNA from 1 species